rnacentral:rRNA from 1 species
UACGUAGGGGGCUAGCGUUGUCCGGAAUCAUUGGGCGUAAAGAGCGUGUAGGCGGCCCGGUAAGUCCGCUGUAAAAGUCAAAGGCUCAACCUUUGAAUGUCAGUGGAUACUGCCGGGCUAGAGUCCGGAAGAGGCGAGUGGAACUCCUGGUGUAGCGGUGGAAUGCGCAGAUAUCAGGAAGAACACCAACGGCGAAGGCAGCUCGCUGGGGACGGUACUGACGCUGAGACGCGAAAGCGUGGGGAGCGAACAGG